UACGGAGGGUGCAAGCGUUAUCCGGAUUUAUUGGGUGUAAAGGGUCCGUAGGCGGAUCUGUAAGUCAGUGGUGAAAUCUCACAGCUUAACUGUGAAACUGCCAUUGAUACUGCAGGUCUUGAGUGUUAUUGAAGUAGCUGGAAUAAGUAGUGUAGCGGUGAAAUGCAUAGAUAUUACUUAGAACACCAAUUGCGAAGGCAGGUUACUAAGCAACAACUGACGCUGAUGGACGAAAGCGUGGGGAGCGAACAGG
rnacentral:rRNA from 1 species